AUUGCUUCUCGGCCUUUUGGCUACGAUCAAGUGUAGUAUCUGUUCUUACCAGUUUAAAAGUCAUGUCUGUUUUGCAUUCUUUCCCAUGAAACAUUUUAAUUUAUUUUAAUACAGUUAUGCUAUUUUAAAGUACUCUUCUUGGAAAACAUCCCCUUCCCUGUCCCUCCAGUUGUCCCUGAGCUCCCCCAGUUUGGGGAGCAUGGAACUGCCA
rfam:Myotis brandtii contig240130, whole genome shotgun sequence.